GAGGAAUUAGAGAGUAGAGAGAAGAUUGGGAGUAGAGAGAAAAAAAAAUAUUAGUUUCUCCUAAGUAUUACCUCUUUGUAUUCUCAUAUUACAAGAGAGAUUAAUUGUUGUUAUCUCCUUGGAUUUAGAGAGUGUUGUAAUUCUCCUACUAUAGUGAAAUCCUCCUAUACUUGCCCGUGGACGUAGCCUAAAUUGGGUGAACUACGUAAAUACUUGUGUCCAUUUUCAGCUGCGGUUUCUCAAUUCCAUUUUGUUGUAAAGCCAAAGUCGACCCACGUUAUUUCUAACACAUUAUUGUGGCUACGUCUCACUUGAUCAUUUUUGGUGCAAUUAGACGACCUUUCAUCAAGCAGAUGAUCAUUUUCAACAUUUUCUGAAGAAAGCAGUUUCAUUGGCUCAAGUGAACGUGCUGAUUCAUGCGGGUCAUGUUCGAAUUCCUCUAUACACAUGGGUAUUUGACAUCUGAUUGCAGUACAUUUAGUCUUUCCACAUAUAUUCCAACUUCUGGAUACGUUGCAGGUGAACUUUCCAAGUCUGGAUGUAGUUCAACAGUAGCAUCAAACUUGUUGGCAGAUGAAGAAAAAGCAUUUUCUUCUACAUAUCUGCUUUCUGCCUCAUCUGACCCUUCAGAUCGAGUAUCAUCGUAUCUAUCAGACAGCGCAUAAAAAAAUUUCUUCAUUGCAGUAGGAGGGCAAUAGCAGAUUAGUGAUUCGAAAUUAAAUAUAACUCCCGUUUGGUUCCAUUUUUUUCAAAAUGCAUUUUUCUCUCUUUUCUUUUUAACCACACAUUCUUCAUUAAAAUAAUAUUACACGUAAAUAAAAAACUUUUCUUUAUUUUUCAACUACACAUUUCCCAUCAAUUUACUAUUCCAAAAUGCAUCUUUACAUAAAAAUGACUCUCAAACACCCUCAUAAUAUAAGCAAAGAUAUUAUUUUUAUUUUUUAUUUUUCCCUCUUUGUUUUUCAAAUUGCAUUGGCCUGCUUGAGCAAGGAUAAAAUUGGAAAAUAAAGUAGUUAAGGCCUCAACUAAAACACUGAUCAUCAAAGUCAAGCAAGCCAAAUUUUGUGAAACAGAUGAAGUAGCAAGUUGCUGACAGGUGAUAGCAGUAACUAUCAACUAAUUCUCGAGGGCAAAGUUGAUAAGUGAAAUAUCUGCGAACCUGUUUCAAUUUUGUUCUGGAACCUUUAUGCACACUGUAACUGGAUGAACUUGAAAGGCUGCAUUGUGAUGAUUCCAAGCUUCUUCGAAUACCUCCGACCAUAUCAGUGGGCAUGUCUACCGUGUAAACAACCACAUCAAAGUCCGGAACCUAAUAAGAAAUAUAUUUGAUGAAUUCUAGUGCAUGACUAGAAGGUUUUAAACAAAUUUUGCAAAAAUAUAGGGAACUGCUGAAAACACUGGCAACAAUAACCAGGAAGUGGAUCUGGUAUUAAGAAAAACAUCUUACACUUAGUUGCUUAGACCUGGCUUUCCUUGAGAGUGCUCUUAUGCAAAUGCAAACUUUUCGAAUGUCUCGUUUCUCAACAACAUCUGAUGGUGAAAAGAGAUCAAUGCCAUUUUUUUUUUUUUUUUGGUAGGUAGAGAACAAUGCCAUUCAAUCCUAAAAUUUUGCACAUCUACCAAAAAAGGGUGAAUUAAGAAUAUUAGCAAUCAUUUUUUAAACAUUCUGCUUAAACAGGA
rnacentral:lncRNA from 1 species